rnacentral:rRNA from 1 species
UACGUAGGGUGCGAGCGUUAAUCGGAAUUACUGGGCGUAAAGCGUGCGCAGGCGGUUUUGUAAGCCCGAUGUGAAAGCCCCGGGCUCAACCUGGGAAUGGCAUUUGGGACUGCAAGGCUGGAGUAUGGCAGAGGAGACUAGAAUUCCUGGUGUAGCAGUGAAAUGCGUAGAUAUCAGGAGGAAUACCGAUGGCGAAGGCAGGUCUCUGGGCCAAUACUGACGCUCAUGCACGAAAGCGUGGGGAGCAAACAGG